rnacentral:rRNA from 1 species
AGUGAACGCUGGCGGUAGGCCUAACACAUGCAAGUCGAACGGCAGCGCAGUAAGCGCUUGCUCUUACGGUUGGCGAGUGGCGGACGGGUGAGGAAUACAUCGCAAUCUACUUUUUCGUGGGGGAUAACGUAGGGAAACUUACGCUAAUACCGCAUACGUCCUACGGGUGAAAGCAGGGGAUCUUCGCACCUUGCGCGAUUGAAUUAGCCGAUGUCGGAUUAGCUAGUUGGCUGGGUAAAGGCCCACCAAGGCGACGAUCCGUAGCUGAUCUGAGAGGAUGAUCAGCCACACUGGAACUGAGACACGGUCCAGACUCCUACGGGAGGCAGCAGUGGGGAAUAUUGGACAAUGGGCGAAAGCCUGAUCCAGCAAUACCGCGUGAGUGAAGAAGGCCUUCGGGUUGUAAAGCCCUGUUGUUGGGAAAGAAAAGAAGCAGGUUUAUACCCCGCUAUUCUGACGGUACCCAAAGAAAAAGCAACGGCUAACUUCGUG